rnacentral:rRNA from 1 species
UACAGAGGGGGCAAGCGUUGUUCGGAAUUACUGGGCGUAAAGGGCGCGUAGGCGGCCCGCUAAGUCGAACGUGAAAUCCCCCGAGCUCAACUCGGGAACUGCGUCCGAUACUGGCGGGCUUGAAUCCGGGAGAGGGAUGCGGAAUUCCGAGGUGUAGCGGUGAAAUGCGUAGAUAUCUGGAGGAACACCGGGUGGCGAAGGCGGCAUCCUGGACCGGCAUUGACGCUGAGGCGCGAAAGCUG